UGAGGAAUAUUCCGCAAUGGGCGAAAGCCUGACGGAGCGACGCCGUGUGGGUGAUGAAGUCUUUCGGGAUGUAAAGCCCUGUCAGAGGGGAAGAUAUUGACGGUACCCUCAGAGGAAGCCCCGGCUAACUACGUGCCAGCAGCCGCGGUAAUACGUAGGGGGCGAGCGUUGUUCGGAAUCAUUGGGCGUAAAGCGCGAGUAGGCGGUGACUUAAGUCGAGUGUAAAAUUUAUGGGCUCAACUCAUAAACGUCGCUCGAUACUGAGUUGCUAGAGAUAGUCAGAGGAAAGCGGAACUUCCGGUGUAGCGGUGAAAUGCGUAGAUAUCGGAAGGAACACCAGUGGCGAAGGCGGCUUUCUGGGACUAUUCUGACGCUGAAUCGCGAAAGCUAGGGGAGCAAACGGG
rnacentral:rRNA from 1 species